CGGUAAUACGUAGGUGGCAAGCGUUGUCCGGAAUUAUUGGGCGUAAAGGGCUCGCAGGCGGUUUCUUAAGUCUGAUGUGAAAGCCCCCGGCUCAACCGGGGAGGGUCAUUGGAAACUGGGGAACUUGAGUGCAGAAGAGGAGAGUGGAAUUCCACGUGUAGCGGUGAAAUGCGUAGAGAUGUGGAGGAACACCAGUGGCGAAGGCGACUCUCUGGUCUGUAACUGACGCUGAGGAGCGAAA
rnacentral:rRNA from 1 species